rnacentral:rRNA from 1 species
CGGUUGAUCCUGCCAGAGGUCACUGCUAUCGGUGUUCGACUAAGCCAUGCAAGUUAUAUGUUCUUCGUGAACAUGGCGAACUGCUCAGUAACACGUGGAUAACCUGCCCUUGGGACCGGCAUAACCCCGGGAAACUGGGGAUAAUUCCGGAUAUGCCAUGAUAGCUGGAAUGCUUCGUGGUUCAAAAGGAUUCGUCUGCCCAAGGAUGGGUCUGCGGCCUAUCAGGUAGUAGCGGGUGCAAGGUACCUGCUAGCCGACGACGGGUACGGGUUGUGAGAGCAAGAGCCCGGAGAUGGAUUCUGAGACAUGAAUCCAGGCCCUACGGGGCGCAGCAGGCGCGAAAACUUUACAAUGCGGGAAACCGCGAUAAGGGGACACCGAGUGCCAGCAUACAAUGCUGGCUGUCCGCAUGUGUAAACGGCAUGCGUUAGCAAGGGCCGGGCAAGACCGGUGCCAGCCGCCGCGGUAACACCGGCGGCCCGAGUGGUGAUCACUAUUAUUGGGUCUAAAGGGUCCGUAGCCGGUUUGAUCAGUCCUCUGGGAAAUCUGACAGCUCAACUGUUAGGCUUCCAGGGGAUACUGUCAGACUUGGGACCGGGAGAGGUAAGAGGUACCACAGGGGUAGGAGUGAAAUCUUGUAAUCCCUGUGGGACCACCAGUGGCGAAGGCGUCUUACCAGAACGGGUCCGACGGUGAGG